AGAGAAGCCUGAGCUGGAGGAAAACACAGUCGUGCAAUGUUUUAGGACCCCAGACCUGCAAGGGAGAAGCUGAAGGUAGGAAAUGAACAUGCAUGCAUUUAUAUUCAAAUGUAUUAUUUGAAGCAAGACAGUAAUUUCUAUGUUGUAAAAAAAAAAAAUCCAGCCUUGUUUUGAGAAUUAUCAAAACCCUUCCCUUCAACUUAGCUUGAACCAUUACACACAUACACACACUCAAAUGUCUAUGGCUAUCAGCCCAAUUCAUUGUAUAGAACACCAAAUUUGACAUAAUUGAUAAAUCUGGGUGUUCUGGGUGUUCAUUCUUUGCAUUGAAUCUGAAGACUUGCAUUUAGCUUUAAAAUUUCCAUUAAUGUGUUGAUAGAGUUGCUUCAUAUAUUUUUUCUGUGUCCAAUUUUUAAACUAAUUAUAACAAACAAUUUCAGUACCUACCCCAUGCAAAGCCUUCUGUGGGGCACAAAGUAAGUAAAACCUUGACCUCCAGGCUGUUACAAUUCACUAAGAGAAGGCACACACAUCCAACCACUAGCUUGGCAUAAGCAAAGCUCAAGCAAUACAGUAGUUCAGAGUAAAGAAAAACAACCAGGCAGGCAGGCUCAUUUGUUGCCCGGAUUCCUGCUGCAUCUUAUUGUUCCAUCAGACUACAUCAAUCUGUUCAUUUCUACAAGUAUACAGCUUUUACAGGGAGCAAAGAAAUAGGUUUUGGACAGACAAAAAAGGGGACAUAUUAUUCUAUUUUGGAGGUAAGACAAGGGUUGAUGGAAAUUUUGUUAAACAAUGAUCCCCUUUAGACUUUUAAUCUACUAUGCAAAAUAUAAAAUAUACAUCUCUGUUUUACGAUUUAGGCAACUUUUGUUUUCAUGAAUGCUUAAGUGAGAUUUUAUUAUGUCUUAUUCCCAAAGAAUUUUCCAAAAGAAUGAAUAUUCAAUUUAUUAUAAGCUUUGAAAUAAAAACCUAGACUUUAACAUAUAUAUCGAUUCACAGGCAACAUUUUGAAAGCAUAACUUUUGUGUUAAGAUAGGCAUAUUUUCAUCUUGUGUCUACAUACAAAAGAUCAGAUUUUGAAUGAUCCACUUGAUUUUUAUAGUAUCAAAGCCAAAUUAGGUAAUGAGAGACUUUGCAAAGAUUUCUUUAAAAGAUCACUAAAAACACAAGUCAAGUGAAAAACUGUUGAAUAACUGUCAUAGGUAGAAAUCCUCACUAUUAAAUGAUUAAGGAAACCCUGAAUGAAUAGAGUUUACUUAAAUAAGUCAAUAUUAGCUAUACAGCCAUGACUGAGGUGAAGAGGCAGGGACAGAAUGUAGUCUAAUGUAUAAUUAUUUUAUUUAAAUUACUAUACCAGCAGCAUUGCAAAUGGAUAGGCAGAGACAAGAAUGAAUUAAGGGAGAGCAGUUAGUAGACUCCUGGAUGUGUCCAGGUGAGUGUUGUCUAGGAUGAGGGUUGUAUUAGUAUAUUCACUAAUUCAAAAAAUAUUUGUUUAAUUUCAAAUAUUUGCCAGGCACUGUUCUGUCACUGGAAUUCCGCCAUGAGCAAAACAAAUAAAAGUCUCUAUCUUGUGGAACUCACAUUCUACUGGAGAAGACAUACAAUAAGAUCAAUACAUAAAAUAUAUAGUAUAUUGGCCCAGUGCGGUGGCUCAUGCCUGUAAUCCCAGAACUUUGGUAGGCUGAGGUGGGCAGAUUACCUGAGGCCAGGAGUUCGAGACCAGCCUGGCCAACAUGGCGAAACCCCAUCUCUACCUAAAAAUACAAAAAUUAGGGCAAGCACGGUGGCUCACACCUGUAAUCCCAGCACUUUGGGAGGCCGAGGCGGGCGGAUCACCUGAGGUCAUGAGUUCAAGAUGAGCCUGAUGAAUAUGGUGAAACUCCAUCUCUACUAAAAAUACAAAAAUUAGCCAGCCAUGGUGGCGCGCACCUGUAGUCCCAGCUGCUCACGAGGCUGAGACAGGAGAAUCGCUUGAAACCAGGAGGUGGAGGUUGCAGUGAGCUGAGAUCACACCAUCGCACUCCUGCCUGGGCAACAGAGCAAGACUCUGUCUUUAAAAAAGAAAAAAAAAUAUAUAUAUAUAUAUAUAUAUAUAAAAUAAAAUAAAUAAAAAUAUAUGCAUAUAUAUAGUAUAUUAUAGGAUGAUAAGUACAUAUGGAAAAAAGAAAGCAGGGAAAAGGGAAAUAAGAUGCCACUGUGAGGUGAAACUGUAGGAGGAAAAUCUAAGGAGGGCCUCGCUGAGAGAGUAAUGAUUGAAUGGAAGGAAAUGAGGGAGUGAGCCAUGAAGAUCUCAGGGAAGAGCGUUUCAGGCAGAAUGAACACUGAGUGCGAAGGGUGUGAGAUGAGAACAUGCCUAGUGUGUUCAAGAAGGAUCAAGGCGUCUCUAUGGCAGGAGCAGGAGGAGUGAGAUGAAAUUGAGAGUGACAAGGGACUGGGUUAUGUAGUAACUAUAGAUCACUACAGGAUUUUAGCUUUUAUUCUGGGUGAGAUGGCGAGUCUGUGCCAGCUACUGACCUAUUAGCUCUUGGUUCCAAAGCACCCUUCAGUACUCUUCUUUAUGAUGACUCUGUAAACUACAUUUUCCCAUUAGUCAAAUGAUUUCCCGUUAAGUUUUGCCGAUAGAAGGCAAGGAAAAGAGAGAAGGGACUUACACAUUUCUGUUUUUCCUGUAUUGGUCAGUAGCAGUUAAAAGCUUCAACCUUCCUUGAGAGCUUCCAGAACCAGUUCUCUGGUGAGAUGCCAGGUAGCAGCGAUAGCCAUUUAGGAUCCGUUCUCAGAGGUCUGUGUACCAACUCCAUGGUGCUUCUUUGUUAGCCCUCUGGGUUCUGUCCUUGGUCCUAAAGAUGUAGAGAUGCCAGCCUCUUUAGUUUUUAAUAUCCAGGUUACUGAAAUGUUCCAUUUUUGUUCUUUAGCUCUCAAACACCUAUGUUACUAAUUCUCUGCUUAAAUGCCCUUUGUUCCAAAUCCUUAAGGUGGUUUCUAUUUUCCUGAUGGUUACAGUGUCAGGUACUGGGAAUGAUGCCAGAAAACCCUCAAAGAUGGGAUUAUGGAAAUGUUUAAGAUACGUCCUUGACCUUGAACUUAAUGUUAAGUUCUUGAUCAGUAGAAAAUGAGGAUGCUGACAUGGCAUGCAAUAUUUAAUUAAAUUAUUACCUGGGAUUGCUUGGGAUAAAAUGCUUAUGUAAAUGAGUAUCUUGGGGGAUAAAAUGACUGCUGCAGGUGAUAGAUAUGGUGGUAAUAAUGACUGUGAUGACUUUUGGGUAGAAUGCCUAUUUCUGACAGUGCUGGAGACUAUACAAAAGGAAAAUGACUCAAGAAUUUAAUAAUCUCAAAGCUUCUCUUGUGAUCCUAGAAGAAUCUUUUAUUUUGUACAAAUGUAUUUAUUUUAGUUUGUAUAUAGCAGGGCAAAUAUGUGUGAAAACCAAAUUCAACAUUUAACUAUUUAGGUCAGUUAUGGAAUUACAAUGAAAGGGGCAUUCACAGACUUUGCAAGUGUCCUAAGUGAAAAUUAAGACUGAUUGGAAAGAAAUAGGGAUAUCUGAUGGAACAUAAAGUUGAAAACCUUGAAUCCACUCUGAGCAUUCCUUUCAACGAGAUGCUUAUUCUCCUCAAGACUUACCACCUCUACUGUGUCUAGGCCUAUACCGCUAAAGCAAUCUAAGUAACAGGGCCAAGUGAAAAAUCCAGUGUAAGAAGAAAUAAGUUAUACUCCAAAAGAAUUGCUGUAUUUUUCUAAAUCAUAUUGACAUGAACCUAGGGGAUAUAUGUGAUUAUAGCAUAUGUAUAAUAAUAUCAUGUUAGACCAAAAAGAAUGGAAUGUGACAUUGUAGCACAUAAAAUUUCUCAGGUAUACUUCUUUCAGAUUUAAUAUGAUAGGUUGAGCAGACUAAAAUUGUUCUAACAAUUGUUUAAUUUACUGGAUUCAAUGGUGGCCUUCUUGCAGGAAGGUUGGAUGAGAAUUUUCCUGGCCUGGUGUCAAAAAUGGCUUAGGGAUGUAGGAAUGUUAGAGUGGACUUUACUCGUGAAACUUGCACACCCACCACCCCUCUCUAUUUGUUUAGAGGGCCCAGAAGACAUCCCUUUUUCUAGAGCGUGUGCCAGUAUCUUUGUAAAGCUCAAUGGCAGUCAUCCUCUGAAGGGUAAAGAUGGCAAGGGCAGAUGCUAUUAUUGAAAAAGGAUCCCUAAUUUCAAUGUAUAUCAUGGGAUCGCAGAGUAGUGAAGUCAAGAAGUAAUACUCACUUCAAUAAGUAAGAGUUAUGUAAUUUCUGUGAAGAUAGCGAGGAAGAAUUAGAAAUCAGAAUUGACCUGCAGAGACCUUUGUCUAUGCUCACUUAAUUCCUUAGAAAUGAAAUGACUUAGGAGGAAAAUAGAUAAGCAGAUUUCUAAAGUGUUACUUAAUCAGCAUAAUAAGAGAACUCUAUGUUUGAUGGGCAGAAAUCGGACUUGAGUAUUCACAAUUUCUCAUCUACUUCCCGAACCUAAAGGCGUUCACAGACUUGGAGUUCUUUGAUCAAAAGGAAGACUGGGUCCUUUUGAGAAAGUACUCUUCAACACUGCCACAACUGAAUACUGUAAAAGUUUUCUAGAUCUUCCUGAGACAUGCCUGCCUGCAUUUGAUAGGUGACCGUACACUAGACCAAAUCAAUGCUUCUAGGGACUCAAAAAUCAUUUUGGAUCACUGCUCAAAAAGUGGGUACCUAUGGAAUCAAGUAAAAAUCCAUGUCACAGUGGUCAAUUGAAGGGUAAAAUGUAAUGGAAAAAGGAAAGCUAUGUAUGUCUUCUUUCUUGAUUAUGUAUACAUGUAGCAUAUUGCAAAAUAGCAAUCUUUGCAGUACCUCCCUUCAAGAGGUGUAAUCUAUUUUUCAAUGUCUUGAAUUUGGAUGCCUUUGUGAUUUGCUUUAGCCAGUAGAAUAUAAGUGACAUUGUGUGCGUUCUAAGCUUGCUUCUCAAGAGACUUUGUAUCCUCCUCCUCUCUCUCUUGGAACCCUGCAACUUCCAUGGAGAAAAGCCUGUGCCCACCAUCUGGAGAAGGAAAAACCAUGUGGAAUAGAGACAAGCUGUUAUAGCCAAGGCCCCAGGCACGUGAGAGGGUCCAAAGACCAGCACAGUCAGCCCAGCAGCUGACCAUGGACUCACCAGUGAGUCUAAGUGAAGCCAUAGGAAUCACGGAUUUUUUUCAUCCUUUAUUUCAUCCCUUAUUACUUCAUGUAAGGAUUGUUGAUGUGAUUGCAACUGAAAAAGAGGAUUUAUCACCACUCCCAGAUGGGGCAUAGUAAAUGUUAGGACUUUGAGUCUCUUAUAUGUGGAAGAAAGUACGAAUGACUUCAUUUAUGUAAAAGAGAGUUGCAUCCUGCUAGGUGGAAGCAUGAAGUUGUUAACUGUUGUUGCAUGGAAGUUAAAAUACAUGGAGAGGAGCGAUUAGGAGUGCUGAGAAACCAAAGAAGGUGACUCUGUGAUGCUGGGAGGACUCUGAAAAUUACAUUUUCCAGUUACCCUUGCCAGCAAGCUUCCUUUUAGGUUCCAUCUGCAGGAUGCAUAGAGAGAAGAGCAGAAGGAACUUCCUUCCUGUUUUUCCUGUCUUUGACGGCAUUGCUAGAUCCAGCCUCCCAUGAGUUGUGGCAUUUCCAGCACAGCGCUGUGGCACACUCUCGGAGGAAUCAGCAGCUCUAGGGCAGUGGCUAUUUUCCUAGAAGUAUAGAACCAGCUCUGCAGAGCCCCUCUUCUAAGCUCCUAGAUUCUGGUAACCCCACCCCUUCCCUUUUGUUUCAACAACCAGCAGUAUCAGCUGUUGCCUGAGUUUUUAAAUCUCUGUGUUACCCUUUUUCUCUUUCAGGCACCCAACAUCUGUGGAAAACACCUCUUAGACUGAGAUAUCCAGUGUGGCUCCUAUUUUCCUGGCUAGACUCUAACUGAUACGAAGUCAUGGAGGGUUUUGAGAUCUCAAAAGAUUUGUCUUGCAUUCUGAUAGCAUCAACCUGGCUGUUGUGUCGGAAUUGACUGAGGGAUCGACCAGCUAGGAGGCUAUUUCAAUCAAAAUAGAUGGGGAUAAAGAAGUGGUUACAUUCUGUAUAUAUUUUGAAGGUAUUAAUGAUGGGAUUUGUAGACAUUCAGGUGUGAGUUUCAAGGAAAGAAUAAAAAAGUAUGAACUGUUAUCUAGGAGAGUAGGAGACUGAUUAGAAGACUCUAGUGUUCAUGCUGGGAAACAAUUAAGAUCAGUGAUUAUGAAUUUAAAAGUUAGACCAAUUAGCAGCUGAGUUUGCAUAGCUCUACAGUGGUUUUGUUAAGGUAAUGCUAGCUGCUGUGACAGAUAAAUCCUGAAAUCUUGUAACCUAAUACAACAGAAAUUUCUAUUCUAGUAACAUAAAGCCUAAUAGGUAAUGGGACAUAAUGAGGAUGAACUCCUAGAUUAUACAACUGAGUCUUUCAGUGAUCUUGGCCAGUAGAAACUCAACACAUGUUUUUCAAGUUUGUCCUGGGAAUUGAUACCCCGUUGGAAAAUUGAGGAUGGGAGAAAAUGCAAGAUUUCCAUAAAUUUUAUUUAUGCCAGUCCUAGAAGUAGUAUGCAUCAUUUCUACUCACAUUGUCUUGGCUAAAAUUCAAUGUCAUGGCUGCACCUUAGGUGAACAGAACCCAGGAAACAUCAUUUAGCCUUGUACCAAAAAGGAAAGGAAAAUACGUUUGGUGAACUGUUUUAGCCAAUCUCUGUGAAAAGGAGAGAUAAUCUGUGUUGAUGCAAGCAGAGACUAGGCAAAUAAUUUAAAAAGGUUGUUGCUUUGCCAAAAGUACCACAAAAGUGAGAGAAAGCAAAGGGGUUCAGAGCAGUUUCAAAGAAUAAUUAGAAGGACUGCCAUGAAUUUAAGCUGGGUAAGGAGAAAGGAGAGGACAUGAGGAGAGAAAAGAGUUAUUAGGAUUGAUGUGCUGGGGCACCAGAUUGGUGAAAUAAUUGUUAGAGUUCUAUUCUAGUAAGCAUUGGCAGGCAAAGAGGAGGUGUCAGCUGGAGAAUGUGAUGCUUGAAACUGAAAAUUUGGAGGAACUUCAGGGCUGCCAUUGACAAAGAUGACAGCAUGACCCUGAAUGUUAGCGUCUGGGAUAGGGUACAAGAAAGAUCACUGGGAGACAGACUGCCAAGGAAUUUAGAGUCCAAGAUAUCGACAGAUAAUCUACACAGAUAUCACAUGUUGAAAAGAGUGAUAGUGUUUCAGGUGCUGAAAUCUUUGAGGAAUGAGGAAAUGUGAAAAUAAGAACAGUGAAUGACUUAGAAAGCUGUUAGUGGGUAAAACAGCAAGACUUGGUGAUUGGUUAUUGGCAGUGAAGAUGAAGGAAGUGACGAGAGUCAAUCCCAGUUUUCUCACUUACGUGAAUGGGUGGAUAGUCUAGCCAUUUGUAGGAGAGGAGCACUCUAGGGUGUCCAUCUUUAGGAGAGGAAUGAUGAGUUUAUUUUUGGAUAUAUGGAUUUUAAAAUUUCUCUCUCUCAAAUAUCCAAAUGGAGAUUUUGAGAAGAUUCUUUGAAAUCGAAAGGUCUAGGACUCAGAGAAAAAAAAUGGCAGUGAGAUAUAUAUAUUUAAGGUUAUUGGAAAAUAAAUAGUAUAUAAAACCAAGUAUUGGUAAUAUUGUCUAGGGUGCUAACAGGAAGCAGGGCUGGACCUUAAGACAUGUAGAAAGAAAGAAGUCACAAAGAGAACACUCUUAUCUGUCCAACCUACCAUAUUAAAUCUGGAACAAGUGCACCUGCGUUGAUUAAUUUGGUCUGAUCCAAUGUUGUGUUUUAUGCUC
rnacentral:lncRNA from 1 species